GGGGAUGAAUUGGAUCGACGGGAAAGCUCUUUAAAAACUGCAAGCCGACUUGAUACACGUUCGUAAAAACGUAUCAAAAAAUAAAUGCUGAUGAAAACAUUAGCAAGCUAGAAGCUAAAGUUAAGGCGGCCGAAGCCAAAUUAGCGGCGGCUUUUAGUGCGAGAGCAGCUUACGCGCAAGCAUACGCUGCUUAACGCCAUCUGUGCUUAUCUUUCCCUGAUGGGAUAACACAGGUGUAAACACAGUCAGGGUGCUUUCGAUAAGCUGACGAGUUGUCGGAAAAAGAUUUUCGUCUCACUUUUUUCUGUUGAUUGUCCGUUGGGAUGCAGGAAAAGGAAAUUUUUACAACGGAACAAGCUUGUAGAUGUUUUUAAAAAGUUUCUUCGGACUCCGGAUCACCUCCGGACAUCUCCACCA
rnacentral:tmRNA from 1 species